GUGUCAGCAGCCGCGGUAAUACGUAGGGUGCGAGCGUUAAUCGGAAUUACUGGGCGUAAAGCGUGCGCAGGCGGUUUGGUAAGACAGACGUGAAAUCCCCGGGCUUAACCUGGGAACUGCGUUUGUGACUGUCAGACUAGAGUGUAGCAGAGGGGGGUAGAAUUCCACGUGUAGCAGUGAAAUGCGUAGAUAUGUGGAGGAAUACCAAUGGCGAAGGCAGCCCCCUGGGUUAACACUGACGCUCAUGCACGAAAGCGUGGGGAGCAAACAGGAUUAGAUACCCCGGUAGUCC
rnacentral:rRNA from 1 species